UACGUAGGUGGCAAGCGUUGUCCGGAUUUAUUGGGUUUAAAGGGUGCGUAGGCGGCCUAUUAAGUCAGUGCUGAAAUAUCCCGGCUUAACCGGGAGGGUGGCAUUGAUACUGAUGGGCUUGAGUAGAGUUGAGGUUGGCGGAAUUGACGGUGUAGCGGUGGAAUGCGCAGAUAUCAGGAGGAACACCGGUGGCGAAGGCGGGUCUCUGGGCAGUAACUGACGCUGAGGAGCGAAAGCGUGGGGAGCGAACAGG
rnacentral:rRNA from 1 species